GGUAGUUUCAUGCGGGUCCGAGCGUGGCAUGGGUCCGAGCUGGGGUGCGAGAUUCAAACGAAUGGGUAGUCACGCAGCGCAGGAGCUCACAGCGGACAUGGGUACAGGCACAAAUGCUUGGGUGCGAUUGGGUUCGACAGAUGGUGGGUCUCAGUGAGAAUUCAAGCGGGCACGCUUCAUUGUAUGCGAGCAUGGGUGGUCCUCGCAAUAGGACGAGCACUUCAUUAUAUGCAGGCUCGAGACGAGGCCUGAGAUGUGGAUGAGAC
rnacentral:lncRNA from 1 species